rnacentral:rRNA from 1 species
UACGUAGGGACCGAGCGUUGUCCGGAAUCAUUGGGCGUAAAGAGCGUGUAGGCGGCCACUUAAGUCCUGCGUGAAAUCUUGCGGCUCAACCGCAAGCGGUCGUGGGAAACUGGGUGGCUAGAGUGCGGGAGAGGAGAGUGGAAUUCCUGGUGUAGUGGUGGAAUGCGUAGAGAUCCGGAGGAACACCAGCGGCGAAGGCGGCAUCCUGGACUGGUCCUGACACUCAGGAGCGAAAGCGUGGGGAGCGAUCCGG